GAUUCCACAACCCUGGGAUCAUCACCUGAGCCGAAGGCAGACGCUCAACUGCCUAGCCACUAGGCACCCCUAGUAUUUGUUUUCUGUCACUGACAACCCAACAAGUCUUGUGUUACAUGCCAUGUAUAUUAUUUUCACAGAUCUGAGAAUUUGCCCCAGCUUACCUUUGUUGAGCCAUAUAGUCACCUGGGGCUCAACUCUUUUAACUCAGAUUUUAAUUUCUUUCUCCAUGCACUUGCCAUCCCCAUGUGUUUUAAGAUUCCCCCCACUCCUUAUUUCUGGGUCAAAAUCUCUCCCUGAAACUCAGAGGGACUUUCUCAGUUCUAAAGUGAUUUUUUUACCCAAAUGAGAAUUAAGGAUAAUCUUCUAGUUAAUAGGUAACAUUCAUCAACUGGGUUUAUAAAUGCUUUUUUCUGAAGAUCAGUUCCCUCAACGGAGAAUUUUUAUUUCCCUUCCCUCUAAAAGUAGAGAACAAAAACAAGUUGUAUAAUUUUCAAGUGACUUUCUAUAAACUUUAUGAAAUUACCUCUUCUUGAGCGCAGUCACUGAAGUAGAUCUAAUUCAUUUUUGUCCCGAUUAAGUUACCAUCAGCUGCUUCUUUUCACAAGAGAUUUCCUUCCUAUUAUUGUUCUCUGUGCAUUUAAUCUCUCUUGGUACUUUUCUUCCCCUCUCUUGAUUUGUAAGUGUUUUGCUGUGAUUCAAUCUCCUGUCUAUUCUUGUUACAAAGUACAACCUUCAUUUGUUAUCUGGGUUCCUUGUGCUAUUUGGGGAAAAGGGAAGUGGUCAGAUCUUUCAGUAUUUGACAAAUGUCAUGAUAAUAGAGUGUUUCAAGGUGGAGAUGUUGAAUCAACUUUUCUGUUUGGUCAAGAAAAUUGAUUCAUAAUGAUAUGUGACAUAAGGUCUUCACUGAAUUUCUCUUUGGUAUACAUGAGGAAUGAAAAAUCACAUCUUUUUAAAAAAAAUAAAAUUUAAUGUCUCUUUAUCUUGAUAGCUCUUUGCACAAGCUCUUUCCAGAUUAGUCUGUGGUCAGAGAAUCAGCAUAUACCUUUCUCCAACUGUUAGAUCAUCUUUAUGUCAACCACUACAGAAAACUCGAGAUCUACAUGCUUUUCUUUCAUAUUUUCUCUAUCAAACUGAGUCCUCAUUGCUGUCUCUUCCAGCAAUGGAAGAAUGGGGAUUGUAUCAUGUUCUAGAGUGUUGGCUCUAGAGGAUGGCUUCCUGAGAGGAUGGGCUAGACAAGAUACAGGAUGUGAGCUCAUUUCCAUCCCUCCUUGUAGGUCUUCAAUGUAUCUCGCUUACUGCAGCCCCUGCAUGGUGGUGGCAUAUCCCAGAUAUGGGCGAACCUUUAAAAGAAUGAAGAGGAAUGAGAGGGAGUCUCACCUGACACCCCUGCAUCCCACCCAAGCCCUUCCUAGGCCUGGAGGGGCUUUCCUGAUGGAGAGAUGUCUGUGGUGGAGAGGGACCUGAUAUAAGCCUGUAAGAACUGUGGGUGACCAACAUGCUUGUAUGGGGCAUUAAAAAAAAAAA